GGGUUAGUAGGUUGGUCAUGCCUCUGGUAUGUACUGGUCUCACUGAUUCCUCCUACCUGAUGAGCGGUAACGCCAUUAAUUUGGUGUUGCGGGGAAUUUGGACUGUUACUUUGAAAAAAUUAGAGUGUUUAAAGCAAGCUAACGCUUGAAUACAUUAGCAUGGAAUAAUGAAAUAGGACGUUCGAUCCUAUUUUGUUGGUUUCUAGGACCAAAGUA
rnacentral:rRNA from 1 species